UACAGAGGUCUCAAGCGUUGUUCGGAUUCAUUGGGCGUAAAGGGUGCGUAGGCGGCUCGCUAAGUCGGAUGUGAAAACUCUGGGCUCAACCCAGAGCCUGCAUUCGAUACUGCCGUGCUUGAGGACUGGAGAGGAGACUGGAAUUUACGGUGUAGCGGUGAAAUGCGUAGAUAUCGUAAGGAAGACCAGUGGCGAAGGCGGGUCUCUGGACAGUUCCUGACGCUGAGGCACGAAGGUCAGGGGAGCAAACGGG
rnacentral:rRNA from 1 species